rnacentral:lncRNA from 1 species
UUUUUUUUUAACAACUUUGUUGUAGUCAAAGAUAGGUUUUAUGGCACCUUUUUGUUUUGGACCAACUCUUUGGAAUCAAACUAUCCGAUCUCUCCAAUGAUUCGGAGUCUCUUGAAAGGCGAAGCAUGUGGAUCUAGAAUUUUACACUCUUCAAUCUUUAUCACUCAACUACUAUACUUGGUGUUUCAGAAUAUAUACAGUUUUAAGUCGUUAUUACUUCAAAGACCAUAUUUUCCGUCUAUUACAUCUAUUUAAUUAUUUGUCUCAUCCUCUAUAAAAUACAUUUUCUUUUUGCAAAUAC